rnacentral:snoRNA from 12 species
UCACAGUGAUGACUGGUUUCCAAUCAUUCGCAGUUUCUACCAGAAAGCUUUGCUGGUGUUGGCCUGUAACCUUCCUUGGAUGUCUGAGUGA